GACGAACGCUGGCGGCGUGCCUAACACAUGCAAGUCGAGCGAUGAAACCCUUCGGGGUGGAUUAGCGGCGGACGGGUGAGUAACACGUGGGUAACCUGCCUCAAAGAGGGGAAUAGCCUCCCGAAAGGGAGAUUAAUACCGCAUAACAUUAGUUCUUCGCAUGGAGAACUAAUUAAAGGAGUAAUCCGCUUUGAGAUGGACCCGCGGCGCAUUAGCUAGUUGGUGAGGUAAAGGCUCACCAAGGCGACGAUGCGUAGCCGACCUGAGAGGGUGAUCGGCCACAUUGGAACUGAGAUACGGUCCAGACUCCUACGGGAGGCAGCAGUGGGGAAUAUUGCACAAUGGGCGAAAGCCUGAUGCAGCAACGCCGCGUGAGUGAUGAAGGCCUUCGGGUUGUAAAGCUCUGUCUUUGGGGACGAUAAUGACGGUACCCAAGGAGGAAGCCACGGCUAACUACGUGCCAGCCGCCGCAGUAAAAC
rnacentral:rRNA from 1 species